rnacentral:misc_RNA from 1 species
UCCGGUUUAACACCGGCAGUCCCUCUAGAGAUCCACUUUUGGUGGCAACUAAAGGCGAGGGUUGCGCUCGUUGCGGGACUUAACCCAACAUCUCACGACACGAGCUGACGACAGCCAUGCAGCACCUGUGUUACGGCUCCCUUUCGGGCACGCCCCCAUCUCUGAGGGCUUCCGUACAUGUCAAGGGUAGGUAAGGUUAUUCGCGUUGCAUCGAAUUAAUCCACAUCAUCCACCGCUUGUGCGGGUCCCCGUCAAUUCCUUUGAGUUUUAGCCUUGCGGCCGUACUCCCCAGGCGGGGCGCUUAAUGCGUUAGCUGCGGCACGGAGGACGUGGAAUGUCCCCCACACCUAGCG